ensembl:snRNA U5 U5 spliceosomal RNA
CAGUGUAAUAUUCUCUCCAGAUCGUAUAAAUCUUUCGCCUUUUACUAAAGAUUUCCAUUCAGUGCACCAACAAAAUGCAGCAGUUCUGGCAAAGGAUACAAUUCCUGGGGUGCUGUCCAAGCACCAGUGC